rnacentral:rRNA from 1 species
GGAUAANCCUGGGAAACUGGGUCUAAUACCGGAUAUGACCAUCUUUCGCAUGUUGGGUGGUGGAAAGUUUUUUCGGUUGGGGAUGGGCUCGCGGCCUAUCAGUUUGUUGGUGGGGUAAUGGCCUACCAAGACGACGACGGGUAGCCGGCCUGAGAGGGCGACCGGCCACACUGGGACUGAGACACGGCCCAGACUCCUACGGGAGGCAGCAGUGGGGAAUAUUGCACAAUGGGGGGAACCCUGAUGCAGCGACGCCGCGUGGGGGAUGACGGCCUUCGGGUUGUAAACCUCUUUCAGUAGGGAAGAAGCCUUUGGGUGACGGUACCUGCAGAAGAAGUACCGGCUAACUACGUGCCAGCAGCCGCGGUAAUACGUAGGGUACAAGCGUUGUCCGGAAUUAUUGGGCGUAAAGAGCUCGUAGGUGGUUUGUCGCGUCUGCUGUGGAAUCGUGCCGCUUAACGGUGCGCGUGCAGUGGGGUACGGGCAGACUGGAGUGCAGUAGGGGAGUCUGGAAUUCCUGGUGUAGCGGGUGAAAUGCGCAGAUAUCAGGAGGAACACCGGGUGGGCGAGGCGGGACUCUUGGGCUG